UCACUUUUUAAUUUUUUAGCUGGCCUUGAAAUUAAUUUGCAUUCAAAAAUAAUAUUCCUAAGUGUGGAGUCACCAGUAGAAUGACCCUGCUCAGUGUUUCAAAAGGGGGUUCACAAGCUUUAUUU